rnacentral:rRNA from 1 species
GAUGAACGCUAGCGAUAGGCCUAACACAUGCAAGUCGAGGGGCAGCACAUGAAGUAGCAAUACGGAUGGUGGCGACCGGCGCACGGGUGAGUAACGCGUAUGCAACCUGCCUACAACAGGGGAAUAACCCGUUGAAAGACGGACUAAUACCCCAUGACACAGGGAUCCCGCAUGGGAAUAUUUGUUAAAGAUUUAUCGGUUGUAGAUGGGCAUGCGUUCCAUUAGCUUGUUGGUGAGGUAACGGCUCACCAAGGCAACGAUGGAUAGGGGAACUGAGAGGUUUAUCCCCCACACUGGUACUGAGACACGGACCAGACUCCUACGGGAGGCAGCAGUGAGGAAUAUUGGUCAAUGGACGCAAGUCUGAACCAGCCACGUCGCGUGAAGGAAGACGGCCCUACGGGUUGUAAACUUCUUUUGUAAGGGAAUAAAGUGCAGUACGCGUACUGUUUUGCAUGUACCUUACGAAUAAGGAUCGGCUAACUCCGUGCCAGCAGCCGCGGUAAA